ensembl:lncRNA
UGGCCCGGGGUGAGGGUGGGAGGGGUGUGGCCCCUUCAGUGUGGUCUGUCUCCGCUCUGGACGGCUUCCGUUUCCGGAGUCUCACGGAAGUUCCUGAUAACCCAUGAGGUAUCUCAGCCCAGGGCACGCCAGGCCCUUAGGUGACUCGUCCCUCAGAGGCUGCCUGCCUCUUCCCUCUUCCUGUUAUCGUCACUUGUUGAGGGAAAUAAACAAGGAUAUACAAUGAAAGCAGAUUUUAGUGGACUUGAAACCAGAAGUCAUCUCAGGUGCCGAAAAGCAUGAAAAUCUGCCCCAGGGACUCUACGAUGACUUUAAACGGAACUGGUUUUACAGCAGAUGAUCUGGCUUGUCCUGCUGUGGGUCUCACAGGCAAGGCUUGCGAGCUGAAGAGCUGGAGGUGAAUGCAGCAAGGUGGUAGCAUUCAAAACGGAAAGCCUGGUUAAUUCUGGAAAGUGAAACCCAUGUCAUUGGCUGCCGGAAGUUCUGGGGAAGUUUGUCCAUUGGAUUAAGUGGAACUGUGUCCCCGGGGGCUGUCAUCGGGCUCUCUUUCUCAUGUGGAACCUCAGGUUUGGGAAUGCUGAGCGAAUGGCAAGGUGGCCUCAGGCCAGUGCCGUCGUCCGAGCCCUGAGCCCCCUCUCCUGCUGCAGUGCCCGCAUGCCCAGCUCUCUGUUCUGCCUGCGACAUUCAGGUGGCCUGGUGGCAAGCAGGUCUGCCUGUCUGUGUGCUCUUUUAACUACCUCUCCCUUCAUUUAGAAGAAAUGAACUUUGAACUUGGGUUGGGUGGGGGCUAGAAGGAAGAGCGUGCUAAAAAGUGUUGUGUAAACACUGCGGCUCUGAUCCUUCUAAUCUCAUACUACCUGUACGGACAGGUGGACGUGGAGAAGCUGCUGGCCGGAAAGGCGGAAUUUUUCCAGGCCGUGUGUUAUGCAAUAGAGGAGCGUAUCUUUGAAGCUGCAGGAGGAGGUCAGGGCAGCUUGUCCACUCGGCAUAUUACGCAGAAGUUUCCCUUUAGAAGCUCUUAUUUGCUUGAGGAUCAUUAGAAAUUCCUGUGCCAACGUUUAGCUGGAUCUCCGGGGUCUGCGAGGGAGAAGAAAAUGAGAAUGUUGUCUCUUCAUCCAGUUACAACGUGGAGGUAGACGGCGAUUUCACAGGUCUGUGGACCAGGCCGUGCUGAGCUUGCGUCUGGGACAGUGACCAGACAGAUAAAAGGAGAAGUGAGAGAUAUUUUUAGCCUGUCAGAGCUGCUUGGAAACAUUGGUUUCUCCCCCACCCAGCAAUUCCAGCAAGGAGGGUCAGGAGUCAGAGCCUUUGCCCUGACUCGGUGUGUAGAACAUUGGCUUCUAUGUGGCACUUUAGAACAUUUGUCACGACUGGUGAGUUGCCCACCAGAUUUGAUGGUGUAGCUUUGAAACCCACACAGUUCAGCCCAAAUAUUUGACGUCACUGUGGAGGGCCUCCGAGGGGGCUCAAGGGGGCUCAUGUGUCCCACCGUGGUCCAGGGACCAGGCCCUCCCUCGGUGCAGAUUUCCUGGGCAGUUGGGGCUUGAGGACAUAGACUCUUUUUCUCUUCUCCUAUGUUGAGGGGAUUCAAGCGUGCGUUGAAGUUCGGACCUCGAGGGCCACGUGACCUGUACAGUUAGGUUCUUACAAUUUUGGGAGCUCCAAUUUAAACCACUAGCAAUGUUAAAUCAACCAAAAACUUCAGUGAGGUUGUCAAUGGAGUGCAAAUUCAGAGACGUGAUGAAAGGAAGGGAUCCUGUCAGGGACAGACUGGCUGUUAGAACCACUUGUGCAGACUAUAGGGC